UUAGCAGAAGGAGGCUGUGCAACACUUCCUCAGAAGGCCUGGUAUGAUACUCACAUUCAUCUUGCUGCAGUGACUGACCUCAGGCCAAUUACCCAAGGGCUGUGAAACUGAAUUUCUUCACAUGUGAAGUGAGGCCAAAUGAACUACCCUGCACUUGGUGGGAAUGUAGAACAGGAGAAUGCAUGCAAAACCAGGGAGAAAAUGAAGCCUCUUGACAGUUCAUAGCCUAGUAUUCAGAUCAAUAAUCAUUGAUAAUUAGCAUUCAUUAACAAGACCUCCAGCAGAAGAGUUAAAAGAACUAGAAGCAGUGGCUCCCAGAACCCCAGUGCCUUCUACUUCACAGACUGUGGAUGUGGUCUGCCAGUCUGCAGAUGACCCAUUCUGAGCAGAACCUGGGAUGGUAUCUCAGAUUUCACCUCAGUCUUGGUGCCAACAGAAUAUGUUCCCUAGUUCACCAGUGAAGUUCAUAAAGUACAAAUUGAAUGCAAAUUCCUUUUUUUAGCUCAGGUGUUCUUCCAAGAGUUACAGAGCAAGCUGUUCCUGCUGCUGCUGCUGCUGCUGCUGCUGCAUGUCUGUCUCAGCAGGCAGAGUGAAAACACAGUGGAUUUGUUUAGAGUUCCAAUGCGCUUUUCCCUGCUUCCUCACCUGACCUCAAGGAUUCCAGAAGGAUAAUUUUGUGAAGCUUUGUUGUGUAGACGAGAAGACCUGAAUCAUUGUAUGUCACAACAGGAACCACUAAGCCAAAUGCCACAGACCAAAUUACCACGUCAUCCCUCAAAUAGGUUGUUAUGGCAGGUCUGGGCAGCUGGGUCACCAAAAUGCUCUAUCUGGGUUUGUUUUCCGCUUAUCCUCAGUAGGGGGUAGAAUGGGGGUGGCCUCCUGCAAACAUCAGUGCCUACAGCCAUUUGGAACAUACUCCAGCUUCAUCAAAGUUAUUAUGGGACAGAAAGGCAAUAGAAAUGUUUAUGUUCCUUUUCCAAAGGCAGAGUCAGAGAGCUUUAGAUGGUUUAAGGUACGAAUGUGUCUAUAGAACAGAGGAAGGAAAAGGUGAGAUGAGUUUCUGAGCAACCAGGACUCACAAAACUGAGAAAAGGGUGCAUGGUACAUGAGACAAGUUUUUAAAUUAGUCCGACCCUAGUGAUCCAGAGUCCUGGAAUGCUUUACCUUUUCAUCUCAGUAACAGUUGCCACCACCUUCAUAUGGGCAGGACAGGGAAGGAGUUCCAUGAUUGAAAGACAUUUAUGCAGUAGUUCUUAAACACUAGUUUACACAAGAAUCCCAUGGUAUCAUUUUUAAAGUGCAGAUUCUCCAGUCCUUGCACAGAAGUAACUCAAACCUCAUGCUUAAUCCCAGUGAGGACCAUUUGGCUCUGAUUAGGUGUGGAAAUGGAGAUCUUCCAUGUGAGCCUUCAUUCACAGACACCCUAACUUACAGGCCACAACCACACAACUGUGGCUUGUUGCCAAAGACUUAUCAUUAGGAUAGCCACAGGUAAACUUGAUGGCUAAGAUGCCUAGAUAGCAAGUCUGAAUAUUCCUCUUGACCUCAAUAUCAGGAAUUUGUUGUAAAGGUCAAAUUUCAAUUUGAAAUUACAUGGUGGGAAAAGAUCAGGCUGUGGCUUGUCCCCAGAGCACAUGUUGCUCAGCACGGGCUAUGUCACGUGUGUCAGCACAUUUGACUUGAGGGGGAAAUUUUCCCAACACAGGUCACCAGGCUUGCAUAAAACUAACAAACUACAAGAUUUUCACUUCACCAGGCUCUCAA